UCUAGAUGAGAGGGGACCUCAUCGUGGGGUGGGGGGACUGGCACAAAAUGUCACAAGAAAACAGCACCACUACAGAGAACAUAGGGACACUACAGCAUCUGCAAAGGGUCUAUUCCAACUGAGAGCGAAAACUGGAUUAAAUUUACUUUGGGACCUUUGACUUGUUUUGGUCAUGCCGGAUUCAUCAAGGAAACAGUCUAGGCAUAACCAGCAGGAUCAGAUGACACAGGCGGACUCCUCACUGGUCUCAGCAUUGUGUAACACCAACAAGUGCUGUGUUUACCGUCCCGGGCUGUCGGGGGAGACGUCCUGGCCUGUACUGGAUCAGCACAAACAGCCAAGAGAAAGAAUGCAGUGUGCUUUUAUGAAUAUUAAGAUUAGAAUGAUAAUUUGGGCUUAAUUAGACAAAAAAAAAUGUAAAAUUGCGACUGCAGCAGGGGCCGUCUCUCUUUCUCUCUCACCAGCCCCCUCUGUGAAUUAGAGUCUAGGCAAAGUGUUUCAUGGUCAGAGGAGGUGUAGAAGGAUCAGUGUGCAAGAUGGACAGUAAGGGUGUUGGGCUGAGAAGCGCUUAGAGUGUAAAUCAGAUGUUUGAAACUGACAGGGGGGUUAAAUGAAGAAUAUAGCGUGUCACAGAGAAAUUGGUAAUGAGAGAGAAGACUGAGCCGCAGGUGACAGAUGCCCAAAAGUUUAGUAACUUCACAUACUUGAUGGUACGGCAGUUUUGGAAAUCAGAGAAAAUGCAUAAAAAGGCUGCACAGAAACCAAACUAGAAAACAAUGUUAUUCCAGAUAUUAUUUCUUAAUAAAACUGGCAGCCCGUACUAUUGUUCAGAAUUUUAAAAAGCACAAAGAGCCUCCCACUUGCAGAAGCAUGUCUAUGAGACAUGAAUGUGUUGUUGUGUUUACUACAGCACAGAACAUUUUAUUCUCUACUCUCGAGCCACGCCCCGGAAGGGCUCAAACCUCAGCCAAGAUGCACAACAUCACCGCCCUUACUCCUUUCACUCCCUGUUCCUUUUGGUUACAGGAAGCAGCUGAAGGGAUAACACCUUACAUCAGACCUGUCAAGUCUCACUCAUCUUAUCUAUGUUUUCUUAGGUCCACCGUGUCCACAGCAACACUGUUCCUCCAGUCACGGACGACGGCAUGAGCGCCCUCUUUAGCCAGACUAAAGCAACAAAACAGUGAAUUUUUAAACAUUACAGUACAGCAUGUGUCCCGUAAACAAAAUGCCUUGUGAUCUUCGCCAUUUGAUCCAAUUAAGCUCAGAUAAACAAAGUUAAACUGGAGUUGCAUGAAAAUUCCCACUGACUGCAGCAAGCCUCAGCUCUGCCUUGUUAAGAUAAAAACCUGUUACUAGUGGUAACAGCACAGUAGAUGAUGGUGGGCGUGAUAAAUAUCACCAUGUCUCCUGAAAGCCAUUAAGAUAAAGUUCCUGCAGAUACAUUGCAGCUAAAAUAAUUAUUAUUAUUAUUGUUAUUACCCUCAGUCUGAAGAGAUGGCGGGAAGAGAACUUUUAAUUUGGAUUAAAAUCACAAGUAUUCUUCUUAGCCACAUUUUGAAGUUGAAACUUUUUAACCUGACCGCGGUGGUCUCUUCUGUUAUUUUUACUUGCCAUUAUUAUUCUUAAUUUCAAUUCUUGGUCUCAGUUUAUCAUGAGACAACAUUAUUGUAAUGCCUUUGAGUUCCCUGUUGUGGUGCAAAAUGUUUAAUCAGGUUUUCCUUUAUAAUACACAAAAUGUCUAUUGCUGUAUAUAUAUAUAUAUAUGUGUGUUUCUAAUUAAAAUGGGUUCAUUAGGUCAAGUAUGACACUGUAAACAAGGCACUGAAACACUGAGCAGACAUCAGACAAGUUUCUGUGCCUGGUACUGGUGACCCAUAUGAUGCCACAUCACGUAAAUAGACACCGUUUAUGGAACAUGUGACAACAAGUGAACCUGAACAGAAACAGCCCCCUUCUCUGAAGUCCCACAGAAAGACAUAACUUCAUCAACUGAAUUGUUGGGAACUGAAAAUAAUCUCUGUGUGUGUUGACUGUAUUUUAAAUGUGUAUGAUGUGACAGUGCGGGAGAGGAGGUCAGACUUUAUGUUACACACAUCUAUUAGGGGAAAAUAAAAGCUUGGCCUGGUGUACUAAUCUAGCACUAAUGUCAGCUAAGCUACUGUAUCCAGGCAGCAGUUCAAGCUGUGCAAGUAGCUGUGUCUCAGCAGCACAUCAGAGCCUGGAUCCUGCACCAACAUGACGCCCAGCCUGCUUUAAUGCACCGCCAGGCGCCCACUGCUGAUUCAGGAUCUCUCUCCAAUGAGACUGUACGAACACACAACAACCUUUGACUACUUGAAUCAACUGACCAGAAUGGCAUCAAGAAGAAAAACAUAACAAGGUCAGAAACAUCAUUAAUGAGGAGAUGCAGAUCUGACAGCGACACAGACACGCCUGGAAGAAGUUGCCCUCCAAGUGAACCUAAUCAGUGUCAUGUUGUUCAUUAGAAAAUGGAAGGAAACUAUGUAGCAAGCAUUACUGAUGGAAAAGCUGUUUGAGAUUUAUUUCUGUCCUGUGUGUUUGUCAUUAAAAUGCUUAAAUGAUUAAAUAGGUCUUAGCACGGUCAGGCCAAACUGAAAACAACAGUCUUUUUGUGCCCUCACUAAUCUUUCUCUGUGUUGUAAGUCCACUGUGAGACGUUUUCUUUCUUUGCAGACAUGCUCUGUGUGAUGUUGUGUGUUUUGCGUCACUGUACGUGUCACUAAAAUGCAGACAGGAUCUUGGACAGAAAGGUACUGGAAUAAAAAUGCUUGAUUGUGUGUUUA